rnacentral:tmRNA from 1 species
GGGGGCGAUUUGGUUUCGACGUAAAUGAAGCAUUUAGAUGCUGCAUGCCGAGAGCUAACUCGUAAAACUGGCACUCGCACAAUAAGUGCAGAACCAAUCAAUCAACUUGCUGCCUAAAUAGAGUAGCAACAUUGAAAUCAACUUUGCCUGUAGGGUUUUUUUCAAUGUCAUUAAUACAGGCCUGAUAAAUUUAUCUUCUCUAUAUGUUUAUCAGUAUUUAAGAGAAUCGAAAUAUCACUUGUCUUUUAGCUACAAGAGAUAUUUUUAAAUUUCAAGCUAGAAUAAGCAUGUAGAGGCUCUAUUUAGCUUAUUUCCGGACCUGGGUUCGAUUCCCAGCGCCUCCAAUA